rnacentral:rRNA from 1 species
UACGAAGGGGGCUAGCGUUGUUCGGAUUUACUGGGCGUAAAGCGCACGUAGGCGGAUCUUUAAGUCAGAGGUGAAAAUCCCAAGGCUCAACCUUGGAACUGCCUUUGAUACUGGGGAUCUUGAGUCCGGGAGAGGUGAGUGGAACUGCGAGUGUAGAGGUGAAAUUCGUAGAUAUUCGCAAGAACACCAGUGGCGAAGGCGGCUCACUGGCCCGGUACUGACGCUGAGGUGCGAAAGCGUGGGGAGCAAACAGG